rnacentral:rRNA from 1 species
UACGUAGGGUGCAAGCGUUUAUCCGGAAUUAUUGGGCGUAAAGAGCUCGUAGGCGGUUUGUCGCGUCUGCUGUGAAAACUCGGGGCUCAACUCCGAGCUUGCAGUCGAUACGGGCAGGCUAGAGUUCGGCAGGGGAGACUGGAAUUCCUGGUGUAGCGGUGAAAUGCGCAGAUAUCAGGAGGAACACCGGUGGCGAAGGCGGGUCUCUGGGCCGAUACUGACACUGAGGAGCGAAAAGCGUGGGGAGCGAACAGG